UACGUAGGGUGCGAGCGUUGUCCGGAAUUAUUGGGCGUAAAGAGCUCGUAGGCGGUUUGUUGCGUCGGCCGUGAAAACCUGCAGCUUAACUGUGGGCCUGCGGCCGAUACGGGCAGACUUGAGUUCGGUAGGGGAGACUGGAAUUCCUGGUGUAGCGGUGAAAUGCGCAGAUAUCAGGAGGAACACCCGGGGCGAAGGCGGCCCUCUGGCUCGACCCUGACGCUGAGGCGCGAAAGCGUGGGGAGCGAACGGG
rnacentral:rRNA from 1 species